UCCGGUGGUACAGGAUGGUCCCGCGUCUGAUUAGCCAGUUGGCAGGGUAACGGCCUACCAAAGCGACGAUCAGUAGCCGGCCUGGGAGGGUGGACGGCCACAUUGGGACUGAGACACGGCCCAAACUCCUACGGGAGGCAGCAGUGGGGAAUAUUGCACAAUGGGGGAAACCCUGAUGCAGCGACGCCGCGUGAGUGAAGAAGUAUUUCGGUAUGUAAAGCUCUAUCAGCACGGGAAGAAAAUGACGGUACCUGACUAAGAAGCCCCGGCUAACUAC
rnacentral:rRNA from 1 species